rnacentral:sRNA from 1 species
GCUGGACAUGGUGGUGAAUGCCUGUAAUCCCAGAGAUUCGGGAGGCUGAGGCAGGAGGAUUGCAAGUCCAAAGCCAGCGGCAGUAAUUUAGUGAGGCUCUAAGCAACUCAGUGAGACCCUGUCUCUA